GACUAGUUUCAUCUCCUUGCUAUCCAAAGGACUCUCAAGAGUCUUCUCUAGCACAACAGCUUGAAAGCAUCAAUUCUUUGGUGCUCAGCUUUUUUCAUGCUGGGAAGGCCCUAACUGAACACAGAGAAUGUUUGUGAGGGUCAGUGUGGCAGUGGUAAUCAAGCUGUCUGCAGGAUGUCAUGUGAUGCUCAUGCCAACUGUGAUGAGUGGAGACCAUUAGUCUACAAAUAAGGAAACAGGCUCAGAGGGCAUGCCUCCUUCUCUCUGGAAGCCGUUUCUGAUGACACCAGCCCAUUGUAGGUCCCCAGAGACGAGGAUCCUGUGUCUGUCUGCCUCAGCAUCGUGCCUUCGACAGAGAGCAUGGUAGUCGUUACAUAAGUAUCUCACGGAAGAGUGAAUGCACAGCAACACACCAGGGCAUGGCGGGGAUGGAAUCAAAUGGAUCCUGCAUCUCCUCUCGUCCUGGAGCUGUGUGACCUACUUUGAUGUUUAACACAAACUCACUUUGAGUCCAGUCCUCUGGGGUCUGCAUCUCACUUCCAUCACUUAUGACCUGUGUGACCUUGGGCACAGCGGGCCAGAGUCUGGGAGCCCCUUCCUCGUGGGUGCUGCCUCAGAGCCCCAGCUUCAGGGCUGAAUCUCUUGCUACCAUCAGACCCUUCAGGAAGCAUCACAGUUACCUUCCUCUCCAUCUUCCGAGGCACUCCCUCUGCUCCCAGGACCAGAAGCUCUGGGAGAGUAGAGACCACACGAGUUUCCUUCUGACUUUCCCAGACAUUGCCUGGCACUUUGCAGCAACCCCAUGACUGUUAUCUAAGUCAACUUUUUGACUCAUUCCAACCCCACAGCUACACAGCCACUAGCUGUGUCAUCUUUGGGAAUACAUGUCUUUCUAGUUUCACCUGUGAAAUGAGCUCAAGAGUAACUACUACUCACCAGAAAACACCAUCAAUGACUGGACACCUGUUUUCUUAUAUACCACUAAGAAAACAAACAAACAAACAAAAAAGAAUACUUCCGCAAACCUUUGACUCAAUGUUUUUAAUCUCUUGGAAUUUCAUUUUAUAUUUAAAAUUAUUUUAAAAUCUCUUUGAGAUUUAAUCCAUAUAGAUUUUAUCUCAUGUCACUCUUGCAUGCGUGUGUGCUAAGACGCUUCAGUUGUGUAUGACUCUCUGCGACCCGCUGGACUAUAGCCCACCAGGCUCUUCUAUCCAUGGGAUUCACCAGACAGGAAUACUGGAAUGGGUUGCCAGGCCCUCCUCCAGGGGAUCUUCUCAACCUAGGAAUCCAACCCACAUCUCUUAAGUCACCUGCAUUGGCAGCCGGGUUCUUUACCACUAGCCCCAACUGGGAAGCCCAUGUCACUCUCUGGCAUGAAUAAAAAGG
ensembl:lncRNA